GAUGAAGAACGUAGCGAAAUGCGAUACGUAAUGUGAAUUGCAGAAUUCAGUGAAUCAUCGAAUCUUUGAACGCACAUUGCGCCCCCUGGUAUUCCGGGGGGCAUGCCUGUUCGAGCGUCAUUUCAACCCUCAAGCUCUGCUUGGUAUUGAGUCCAUGUCAGCAAUGGCAGGCUCCAAAAUCAGUGGCGGCGCCGCUGGGUCCUGAACGUAGUAAUAUCUCUCGUUACAGGUGCUCGGCGUGCUUCUGCCAAAACCCCAAUUUUUCUAUGGUUGACCUCGGAUCAGGUAGGGAUACCCGCUGAACUUAAGCAUAUCAAUAAGCGGAGGA
rnacentral:misc_RNA from 1 species